AGCGUCUCUAGCGCGCGCGUUUAACAACUUUAUACGGGGCACAAUCGCGUGCGUUUUUCAAGCAAAGUCCCUAGCCCCGCGCGAUUGUGCGAUCCGUUACGAGUAUCCACCGGAUAUUGUGGAACCGCCGAUAACGCGUAACAUAUUAUUAUAGUAUUAUUGCGUACGGAAAAACAAUACCGGAAAAAAAAAAACAAACAAACAAACAAACCGUAUAAUAAAAUCGUUACGAUAUUUC